CCUACGGGGGGCUGCAGCGACGAAUCUUCCGCAAUGGGCGAAAGCCUGACGGAGCGACGCCGAGUGUGGGAUGAAGCGGCUUUGCCGUGUAAACCACUGUUAGGGGAUAGAAACAAUGAUCAUCUCCAGAGAAAGGGGCGACUAACUCUGUGCCAGCAGUCGCGGUAAGACAGAGGCCCCGAGCGUUAAUCGGAAUUACUGGGCUUAAAGGGUGCGUAGGCGGAUCUGUAAGUGUCGUGUGAAAGCCCACUGCUCAACAGUGGAACAGCACGGCA
rnacentral:rRNA from 1 species